rnacentral:rRNA from 1 species
GACGAACGCUGGCGGCGUGCUUAACACAUGCAAGUCGAACGGAAAGGCCCUUCUUUUGUGGGGUGCUCGAGUGGCGAACGGGUGAGUAACACGUGAGUAACCUGCCCUUGACUUUGGGAUAACUUCAGGAAACUGGGGCUAAUACCGGAUAGGAGCUCCUGCUGCAUGGUGGGGGUUGGAAAGUUUCGGCGGUUGGGGAUGGACUCGCGGCUUAUCAGCUUGUUGGUGGGGUAGUGGCUUACCAAGGCUUUGACGGGUAGCCGGCCUGAGAGGGUGACCGGCCACACUGGGACUGAGAUACGGCCCAGACUCCUACGGGAGGCAGCAGUGGGGAAUAUUGCACAAUGGGCGGAAGCCUGAUGCAGCAACGCCGCGUGAGGGAUGACGGCCUUCGGGUUGUAAACCGCUUUCGCCUGUGACGAAGCGUGAGUGACGGUAAUGGGUAAAGAAGCACCGGCUAACUACGUG